rnacentral:tRNA from 1 species
GCCGCGGUAGCUCAGUCGGUAGAGCACCGGACUGAAAAUCCGUAUGUCGACAGUUCGAUUCUGUCCCGCGGCA